CUACUCUCUAUAGGUUGUAGGUCUGGUAUAACCUGUCUCUACUCUCUAGGUUGUAGGUCUGGUAUAACCUGUCUCUUCUCUCUAUAGGUUGUAGGUCUGGUAUAACCUGUCUCUACUCUCUUAGGUUGUAGGCUGUCUGGUAUACCUGUCUCUUCUCUCUAUAGGUUGUCGGUAUAACCUGUCUCUUCUCUCUAUAGGUUGUAGGUCUGGUAUAACCUGUCUCUUCUCUCUAUAGGUUGUCGGUAAAACCUGUCUCUUUCUCUCUAUAGGUUGUCGGUAUAAACCUGUCUCU
rnacentral:lncRNA from 1 species